CUAUAUUAAUUGAAAAAUUCCAAGUGUUAGAGAAAAGAAAAAUCUUAUUAAAGAAGAGAUACAACAAUGGUAAAGCAUCAUUAUUCUCUGAAUGAGUUGCCACCUCAAAGGUGUCUUCGCCUCCUUUUUCAGCUAAAUCCUUUGAAAGGAGUGGAAAUUAUUCUACUCGAGUUUUGAAAAUGAGGAAGACGUUGCAUUUCUUCUAUCAAUCUCCUCGUAGGAUCUAAAGGAGAGCAUAAGUAAAUCUCUAACUUUGACAGACAGAUUCCUAUGAAUUUAGGGAGUUGUACAUAUCGUUGUCCGCCAGAAUAGAUGCCCUUUUAGUAUAGCCCACUUAGCUUCGUUUUCUCACUGAAGGAUAGCCCUAGAUUUUUCUCACCCUAUUACUAGUGGAAGGAAGUCACCAGGGUUGUUAAAGAAGGGAGAUGAAUCCCUGGCAGGGUAGAGAUUGGGAGGUGAGAGAUGCUAACGUGGUCUCCCCAUGAUGUUACAGAAUGAGUCACAAUGAGCGAACUCCCGAAGAGGAACAGGGAGGUUGAGGAAAGGGACUCCCUCAAUUUUUAAUACAGAUCCUUGCCAUAUUCUAGGCUGACCGAAAACGGAGAGGGUGUGUAUUCUCCUACGAUAAAACAUACCCUCUAAGGGAAGAUGGGGUAGUUAUUAGUAUCGCUUAGUCAAC
rnacentral:lncRNA from 1 species